GCAACGGAGGGGAAAGAAGCGUUCGGCCGCUAGUGGAUACCCCCGACGGCGAAAGGAAAAUCCUCUCGGGCGCAACAACCAGCGGCCGCUGGGACUUAGUAUCCGAGUCAGAGCGGGUCAGACGCCGGGUGGUGCCGGGGGCGGGACGGGACCUCCGGUGAGGCCCCCAGGACUGGUGAUCCCGCUCCCGCGGGGUCUGGCGGCCGGGAGACGGCCCUCGGGGAACAGCGCUGCCUACGAGGCGCGGACAAGUAACUGCCGAGCCGAGGCCGGCAGGGAGAGGCGGCCGGGGCGACGCCCACCAGCGGGUAGGGGGCGCGGGGCCAGUCUCCGACGGCGCGCAGGAGAGACGACCACCCACCAGCGGGCUGGAGGAAACCAGUUUCUGCCCAUAGAGAGAAGGGCGAGGCCCUGCCGGAGGGCGGCAGAGGUGGCAAUAGAGUCCUACGGAGGCCAGCCCUUGCAUCAAUGCGGGACCUGAAGGAGUGGUGUGAGAGCAGACGGGGACGGGGGUGUCCCCAGAGACGAAGCAGGAGCCAGCUUAUUCGCGCUGCCCACACACAGCAGUGAUGAUGUUCCCGGACCCGAAGUGCUCCGUGGCUUCCGCAGUAUCUGCGCCCUCUUCCACCUUUGCCAAAGACCAUGGUCGCCAUCCCAGCGUGGCAGUGCCGAUGGAAAACUGGGGACCAGUUGUGUCAGGCCCGGCAUUUGUCAGGAAUAAAUGCUCAUCAUCAAACUUCUCCCUGUAGAGGGAGGUGCCACCCGUGCCCUCAUGGUGUGUGGCCCUGGCACAUAAAUCCCCAGAUCCUUCUGGGAAAACAGGAACCAAAUACUUUCUCUUGUCUUCA